rnacentral:rRNA from 1 species
CGGUAAUUCCAGCUCCAAUAGCGUAUACUAAAGUUGUUGCAGUUAAAAAACUCGUAGUUGGAUUUCUGCGGGGACGGAGCGGCCGGACGCAACUUGCGUCUCGAGCUAGCGCUUUCCCCGCAUCCUGCCGCGAACCGUGCUACCAUUAGUUUGGUGGCGCUGGGGAUCGGCUCGAUUACUUUGAGAAAAAUAGAGUGUUCAAAGCAGGCCACACGCCUUGAAUAAGUUAGCAUGGAAUAAUGACUAAGGACUUCGGUUCUAUUUUGUUGGUGUCCGGGACUGAAGUAAUGAUUGAUAGGGACAGUUGGGGCGGUCUGUAUUCCAAAGCGAGAGGUGAAAUUCUUAGACCUUCGGAAGACAAACAGCUGCGAAAGCGUUCCGCAAGGAUGUUCCCUUUGAUCAAGAACGAAAGUUGGGGGAUCGAAGACGAUCAGAUACCGUCGUAGUCUCAACUAUAAACUAUACCAGCUAGGGAUCGGCCAACGUUUAAUUAAUCGACUUGGUCGGCACCUUAUGAGAAAUCAAAGCAUCUGGGUUCCGGGGGGAGUAUGGUCGCAAGGCUGAAACUUAAAGGAAUUGACGGAAGGGCACCACCAGCCGUGGAGCCUGUGGCUUAAUUUGACUCAACACGGGAAAACUUACCAGGUCCAGACAUAGGAAGGAUUGACAGAUUGAUAGCUCUUUCUUGAUUCUGUGGGUGGUGGUGCAUGGCCGUUUUUAGUUGGUGGAGUGAUUUGUCUGCUUAAUUGCGUUAACGAACGAGACCCCAGCCUGCUAAAUAGCGCGGCUGAGCUUUGCUCGGUGCGAGCUUCUUAGAGGGACUAUGAUGCGCGAUAGCACAAGGAAGUUUGGGGCAACAACAGGUCUGUGAUGCCCUUAGAUGUUCUGGGCCGCACACGGGCUACACUGGCGCCUGCAACGAGCAUAUCAGCUGGCCCGAGAGGGUCUUGGCUAAUCUUUUGAACCGGCGCCGUGCUUGGGAUUGACCUUUGCAAUUGUUGGUCAUGCAACGAGGAAUGCCUUGUAAACGCGAGUCAUCAGCUCGCAUUGAAUACGUCCCUGCCCUUUGUACACACCGCCCGUCGCUCCUACCGAUGAAUGUUCCGAUGAAAUUUUCGGAGAGCGCCAGAGAACGGGGCUCCGCCUUGCAGAUCUGGAGGCUCAAAGUCACUUAAAUCUGAACAUUUCGAGGAAGGAGAAGUCGUAACAAGGUAACC